rnacentral:rRNA from 1 species
CGGAACGGGUGAGUAACGCGUGAGGAACCUGCCUCAAAGAGGGGGACAACAGUUGGAAACGACUGCUAAUACCGCAUAAGCCCACGGGUCGGCAUCGACCAGAGGGAAAAGGAGCAAUCCGCUUUGAGAUGGCCUUGCGUCCGAUUAGCUAGUUGGUGAGGUAAUGGCCCACCAAGGCAACGAUCGGUAGCCGGACUGAGAGGUUGAACGGCCACAUUGGGACUGAGACACGGCCCAG